CCAGUUCGAUGCCUGACUUCCGCCUCCCUGUGGGCGCCCCUUGAUGACGUCGCCCGCUGUACGGCAGCGGCUGGUGAUCUGGAUGGCUCGUGACAGCGGCAGUCAGCGUGGCGUUCGGCUCGGCGGGCAGGAUCGCAGGUGAGGGAGUCAGAAUACUGCCGUACUUGGAUGACCUGCUGAUUCUGGCGAGUUCCCACAAUGUCCUCCUCAGUCAUCUACAAUUGACAUGAGCUGCUUACAAGCCCACGGAUGGCUCAUCAAUUGGAAGAAGUCCUCGCUGGUCCCAGCUCAGAGCAUGGUGCACCUAGGGGUUCUCCUGGACACACACAGUCAGAGACUGUUCCUGUCUCCACACAAGGUCCUGAAAAUCCAGGAAAGGAUAAGACACUUCAUCCGUCACCCCAGAGUGUCGAUUCACUCGGCGAUGCAUGUCCUUGGCCUGAUGGUGUAGAUGUUUGACAUGGUAGAGUACGCUCAAUUUCUUUCUUUUUUUAAACAAUUUAUUUCAUUUUAUUUUGUAUCAACAAAGAGCAUUACUUCACUGGAAUAGGGGGUCAACAGUACAAAUGAUUCACAAUGUACAAAGCAUGUCCAGUCACAGAGAAGAACAAAUAGAAAAAAAUUAACAAUUCAGCAAUAAAAUGAUACAGGAAGAUAUAUUGAGUACUGUCACACUGAUAGUAUAGUGUAACGAAGAAGAAAAUCAUAAUAAAAAAAAAUCUCAAAAUACAAAGCACAAAAAUGUCUUACGACAAAUAUGAUAGAGAGAAAAAGUAAUAGUAGAUUUGGGGGGAAAAAAGGAAACCUGAAAAAAAGACGGACUAAGUAAAGUCAGGGAGGAGGGGACCAAUAAGAAAGAGGAGAGGAGCGUGGGGAGGGGUGAAAAAGGAGGGGGGUGGUAUUAGGAGGAGGAAAUGGGUAAGGAAGGGGCACCAGUAGCAAAUAUUAAAUAUGAAAUCUACUUCACUGGGCGCCACUCUAGUUAGGUGCAACCAUAAAUCAAAUGCAACUAUAUUACACGUUCCUUAGAUGUACGUCAUUCGUCCUCCAAUAUAUGUUGUCCUCAAAUUUCAUCAAUUCCGCACAUAUGGAAAGAACAGAAUAAUCAUGGGUAGUACAAUCAAUUUAAUACACAAUACACAUGACAAUAGAGAAAAUUACAGAUAAAAAUAGCAAAGUGCCCUCUACUGUUCCACGAUCAUGUUUGAGAAAGCUGGACAAUUACCAGAUAAUGUGGAGAACCGGUAACAAAACAGUUCUCAACAGUGAUGUUUAUAGUCACCCAAGAAAGUCCACCCAGUUAGGCAAAUCAGCACUCAGAAACAAUACUGGAACCAUGGGGUCUUUGCUGGAUAGCCAACGUGUUUCAACCCUUAUACUAGGGUCUUUCUCAAGGCAGUAUGUUGAAUCCCGCUCCUGAAUUCCUUUAUAAUAGUGCUUUGUCCAAUCAGAUCGUAACUCCAUGAUGUCUGCUUCCCACUCUUUUUACACGUCAUCCCCGGACUUCCGUUCAAUAACCGGCGGUCCCUCCCUGACCUGCUUCCCCCAGGAAGUGCAUAAUCAGAGAGGCCACGUGUCCUAACUGGUGGUCCCUCCCUGAUCCGCUUCCUCCUGGAAAUACGUCAUCAGACGAGGCCGCGUGUCUUGCCCGGAAGUCCCUAGAAAUGCUAUCCUCCCGGAGGAAUGUCCGGCGGAAGUAUGUAGAUAUGUUAUAUCUCGCAAUGUAAACAAAAACACUAAACAUCACUUCCUUUUCAUAUGUAGUCCAUCAAUAGUCCAUUAUAUAUGAUCCAUAUAAUACAGAAUCUAAAAUAGAAUAGUAUCAGAGGUAAAGGAUGGUAACGAGAAAUAAAAAUGCCAACUUAAUUAAAAACAUGAUUAAGACUACACUAGUACAUUGCAGUCAUAAAUAUAAAACUAUAAAAACCAUUUCAAUUCAAAAUCGUUAUUCAAACCAUGCAGAUGCAGUGUAUUACAAUCAUAAAUGCACUGCAUCUCACAUUUAGCCAGACGUGAAGCAAUAUCCCUCUGACGAAGAUUGCAUUUACAUUUAACAAAUUUAAUACCUGCAAAUCUUAGUAUACUUUUGGCAGAGCAAUUAUGGAUUUUUUUGAAAUUAUUAGAUAGUGCAUGAGUUUCAAGUCCCUUUUUUAUGUUCCUACAAUGCUCCCCUAUUCUAAACUAUAGAGCUUGAGAAGUACGUCCUAUAUAAAAAAGAUGGCACGUACAUUCAAUGCAGUAAACGACAUUGCUUGUAUUACAUGUAAUAAAAUCUUUAACAAACAUA